rnacentral:lncRNA from 1 species
CUUGCUGCUGCCAGAUUCGGGCCUGGGGGCCUGCUGGAUUCAGGCCUAGCGCUGUGGGCUUGCUGGGCUGGCCUGCUGCUACGCUGGGCUGUGUUGCUGGACUGGGCCUGGCUGUCACCUCCUUCUAUUUUACUUUUUUUUCUGCUUUGCCCUUUUUUUUGGCUGCUGGGCUUUUACUGUGGCCUGCUAAACUGCUGCCGGUCGGGUCGCUGGAUCGAGUCGGGUCAAAUCUGGGUCGAGUCGGUUUGACCCGACUGUUUUAGGUUUUUUUCAUUUUUUUCUUUCCUUUUUUUUCUCUUUUUUCUUUCUUUUUCUUCUUCUUCUUCAGGCCGAACCCUAACUGCCGCUCGCUUCUCCCCUUUCGUCCACUGCUGUCAUCGACUCUUCCGUUCGGUGGCGCAGCGGUCACGACGUUCUCCACUCUUCCUUUCUCUCCCCCUCUUUUUACUCUUCUCUUCUCCCUUUCACUUUCUCUCUUUUCUUCUCUCCUUUCUAUUCUUUUUCUUUUCUUUUUCCUUCAAAAGCUCAAAACCUAGAGGCGUCGACGCCCCUUCCAAUCCACAAUUCAUCGCUCGAUCUUCCUCCGCCCUAGGUGGCUGUGGUAAAGAGCCGAAAUUUCUUCCUUUUUUUUAUUUUUGCUAUUGUUUUGUUUGGUUUUUUUUUUGGUUUUUUUUGAUUGAUUGUGGCUUAUAGGUAGUGGUGAUGAGGGAAACGAUGGUCGCGCGAUGAUCACGGUGGUGGUGGCGGUCGCUCGGCUGAGUCUUUGCCGAAGUCGUUUUGAUUUUUUUGAAGUUUUUCUUUUCUGUUUUUCUUUUUUUUUGGUGUUGUCGAAUCCCCCUUUUCUUUCUCUUCAAUUUUUUUCUUUUUAAUCUUUCAAUUUUGUCUUCUUCCUCUUUGUUUUCAAGUGGCAGUAGAGGAGGGGGAGCACGGCCGAUGGCCGAUUGGGGGUGUCAGGCAUAGAGAGCAGGGCACGCCCGAAUGCUGAUUGGGGGUGGUCUG